UGCAGUCGAGCGGAGAAAUGGGAGCUUGCUCCCAUUUCUCAGCGGCGGACGGGUGAGUAACACGUGGGCAACCUGCCCUGCAGACUGGGAUAACUCCGGGAAACCGGAGCUAAUACCGGGUAAUACAUAGCAUCGCAUGGUGCAACGUUGAAAGUUGGCCUUUGGCUAACACUGCAGGAUGGGCCCGCGGCGCAUUAGCUAGUUGGUAAGGUAACGGCUUACCAAGGCCACGAUGCGUAGCCGACCUGAGAGGGUGAUCGGCCACACUGGGACUGAGACACGGCCCAGACUCCUACGGGAGGCAGCAGUAGGGAAUCUUCCGCAAUGGACGAAAGUCUGACGGAGCAACGCCGCGUGAGUGACGAAGGCCUUCGGGUCGUAAAGCUCUGUUGUUAGGGAAGAACAAGUACCGUUCGAAUAGGGCGGUACCUUGACGGUACCUAACCAGAAAGCCACGGCUAACUACGUGCCAGCAGCCGCGGUAAUACGUAGGUGGCAAGCGUUGUCCGGAAUUAUUGGGCGUAAAGCGCGCGCAGGCGGUCUCUUAAGUCUGAUGUGAAAGCCCACGGCUCAACCGUGGAGGGCCAUUGGAAACUGGGGGACUUGAGUGCAGAAGAGGAGAGUGGAAUUCCACGUGUAGCGGUGAAAUGCGUAGAUAUGUGGAGGAACACCAGUGGCGAAGGCGGCUCUCUGGUCUGUAACUGACGCUGAGGCGCGAAAGCGUGGGGAGCAAACAGGAUUAGAUACCCUGGUAGUCCACGCCGUAAACGAUGAGUGCUAGGUGUUGGGGGCUUCCACCCUCAGUGCUGAAGUUAACACAUUAAGCACUCCGCCUGGGGAGUACGACCGCAAGGUUGAAACUCAAAGGAAUUGACGG
rnacentral:rRNA from 2 species